rnacentral:rRNA from 1 species
CACCGCGGUUAUACGAGAGGCCCAAGCUGACAGCUCCUCGGCGUAAAGCGUGGUUAAAAUAGUAAGCACUAAGGCCGAAUGCAGUUAAAGCUGUUAUACGUAAUCGAAUGCUAGAAGUCCCCUUACGAAAGUAGCCUUAAUAUCUUGAAUCCACGAAAGCUAAGGUA